rnacentral:rRNA from 1 species
AGCAUAUCAGUAUGCGGAGGAGAAGAGACCACCACNGAUUGCCUCAGUAACGGCGAGUGAAGCGGCACCAGCUCAGAUUUGAAAUCCGGCCCGCCUCGUGGGGGCCCGAGUUGUAAUCUGCAGAGGGCGCCUCGGGUGCAGCCUCCCGCCGAGUUCCCUGGAACGGGACGCCGCAGAGGGUGACAGCCCCGUGCGGCGGGUGGGCGAGCCCGCAAAGAGGCCCCUUCAGUGAGUCGCGUAGCUUGGGAAUGCUGCGCAAAUCGGGAGGUAUACCCCUCCCAAGGCUAAAUACAGGCUGGAGACCGAUAGCGCACAAGUAGAGUGAUCGAAAGAUGAAAAGCACCUUGAAAAGGGGGUGACACAGUACGUGAAAUUGUUGAAAGGGAAGCGUCCGUCGUGAGACUCGCGCGCGGCCGAUCAGCAGGCGCCCCCCCCGGGGCACUGCGCACUCGACCGCGCGCGGGCCAGCACCGGCUCGACGCCGGGGCUGAAAGGCGCUGGGAACGUGGGUCCCCCUCCCGGGGAGCGUUAUAGCCCAGCGCGUCAUGCCCUGGCUCGGGCCGAGGCUCGCGCCCCGCAAGGGUGCUGGCGUAAUCGCGACUGGCGGCCCGUCUUGAAACACGGACCAAGGAGUCAUCCUAGCAUGCGAGUGUUUGGGUGCAAAAGCCCCUGCGCGGAGUGAAAGCAAACGCUGGUGGGAGCCCUCGCGGCGCACCACCGACCGAUCUUGAUGUCCUCGGAUGGAUUUGAGUAUGAGCAUGCUGGGCUGGACCCGAAAGAGGGUGAACUAUGCGUGUUUAGGCUGAAGCCAGCGGAAACGCUGGUGGAGGGCCGCAGCGGUUCUGACGUGCAAAUCGAUCGUCAAAGAUGCGCAUAGGGGCGAAAGACUACUCGANCCUUCUAAUAUCUGGCCC